GAUGAACGCUGGCGGCGUGCCUAAAACAUGCAAGUCGAGCGGCAGCACGGUCUUCGGACUGGUGGCGAGCGGCGGACGGCUGAGUAACGCGUAGGAACAUACCCCAAAGUGAGGGAUAACUGCUCGAAAGAGUAGCUAAUACCGCAUGUGGUCUAAGGAUUAAAGCUUCGGCGCUUUGGGAAUGGCCUGCGUCUGAUUAGCUUGUUGGUGAGGUAAUGGCUCACCAGGGCGACGAUCAGUAGCUGGUCUGAGAGGAUGAUCAGCCAGACUGGGACUGAGACACGGCCCAGACUCCUACGGGAGGCAGCAGUUAGGAAUUUUCCACAAUGGGCGAAAGCCUGAUGGAGCAACGCCGCGUGCAGGAUGAAUGCCUUCGGGUUGUAAACUGCUUUUAUAUGUGACGAUUAUGACGGUAGCAUAUGAAUAAGGAUCGGCUAACUCCGUGCCAGCAGCCGCAGUAA
rnacentral:rRNA from 1 species